GCCUGGUUGAUUCGUCCUGGGCUGUGGAGCAGGUGAACAGAUGCGGAAAACCUGGGCCCAAUGUGGCGGUCGGAAUGGCGAAGC
rnacentral:sRNA from 12 species